rnacentral:tRNA from 2 species
GGAGAGAUGCCGGAGUGGCUGAACGGGACGGUCUCGAAAACCGUUGAGGAGGUGACUCCUCCGAGGGUUCAAAUCCCUCUCUCUCCGCCA